rnacentral:tRNA from 1 species
GGAGGAGUGUCCGAGUGGUUGAAGGAGGCGGUCUUGAAAACCGCUAGGUCGCAAGGCCUCGUGGGUUCGAAUCCCACUUCCUCCGCCA